UAUAGCCCAGUUGGUAGAGUACAUGCCUUGUAAGCAUGAGGCCCUGGGUUCAAUCCUCAGUA
rnacentral:tRNA from 1 species